UACGUAGGGACCAAGCGUUGUUCGGAUUUACUGGGCGUAAAGGGCGCGUAGGCGGCAUAUUAAGUCAUCUGUGAAAUCUCCGAGCUUAACUCGGAACUGUCAGCUGAUACUGAUGUGCUAGAGUGCGGAAGGGGCAAUCGGAAUUCUUGGUGUAGCGGUGAAAUGCGUAGAUAUCAAGAGGAACACCUGAGGUGAAGACGGGUUGCUGGGCCGACACUGACGCUGAGUGCGCGAAAGCCAGGGGAGCAAACGGG
rnacentral:rRNA from 1 species